rnacentral:rRNA from 1 species
CUAGCCGUAAACGAUGCUCACUAGGUGUAGGGAGUGAUAAACUCUCUGUGCUGAAGCGAACGCGCUAAGUGAGCCGCCUGGGGAGUACGUCCGCAAGGAUGAAACUCAAAGGAAUUGACGGGGGCCCGCACAAGCGGUGGAGCAUGUGGUUUAAUUCGAAGCAACGCGAAGAACCUUACCAGGUCUUGACAUCCCGAUGACCGCUCUAGAGAUAGAGUUUUCCCUUCGGGGACAUUGGUGACAGGUGG